CAAGCAGCGGAGCGUGUGGUUAAUUCGAUGCUACACGAAGAACCUUACCAGGGUUUGACAUGCAAGUGGUAGGAACCGAAAGGCGACCGACCCUUCGGGAGCUUGCACAGGUGCUGCAUGGCUGUCGUCAGCUCGUGUCGUGAGAUGUUCGGUUAAGUCCGCUAACGAGCGCAACCCUCGCUGUGUGUUACAAGUGUCACACGGUACUGCCGGUCUUAAGCCGGAGGAAGGUGAGGAUGAUGUCAAGUCAGCAUGACCUUUAUAUCCAGGGCUACACACACGCUACAAUGGUCUGUACAAUGGGUAGCCAAGCCGCGAGGCGGAGCCAAUCCUGAAAGCAGGCCUCAGUUCAGAUUGCAGUCUGCAACUCGACUGCAUGAAGCCGGAGUUGCUAGUAACCGCAGGUCAGCAAUACUGCGGUGAAUACGUUCCCGGGUCUU
rnacentral:rRNA from 1 species